UACGUAGGGAGCAAGCGUUGUCCGGAAUCAUUGGGCGUAAAGCGCGCGUAGGUGGCCUCGUAAGUCCGCUGUGAAAGUCAAAGGCUCAACCUUUGAAAGCCGGUGGAUACUGUGAGGCUAGAGUACGGAAGAGGCGAGUGGAAUUCCUGGUGUAGCGGUGGAAUGCGCAGAUAUCAGGGGGAACACCAAUUGCGAAGGCAGCUCGCUGGGACGUUACUGACGCUGAGACGCGAAAGCGUGGGGAGCAAACAGG
rnacentral:rRNA from 1 species